rnacentral:lncRNA from 1 species
AGGAUUGUCACAAACUCAAACAUCUUAGUCACUAUUUGGGUUGGACUUUGCCGACCCCAGUCCUAUUCAAAAGAGCCAACAAAAGUGACUUAAGAUAAUUUUGUGGUAUACUUUUACAAAUUGAAUAGUUAUAGUGAGAAGCAUGAGCACAAAUUCAGAAAUAAUAAACUAAUAAUCAUUCUCAUCCCCAAUAAAUAAAUUUUCAGAGGAAUGCAAUUGUUUAAGUUGAGAGGUCAGACCAAGAUAUUGCUGAAAUUUUCUAUUUGGGACAAUAAGCACUGCACACUCCCAUGGGAUCAUUUUGGACUUCACUGCCUUGGGUAAAACCCUACCUGGAAGGAUUCUUAGGACCCCAACCUUAAUCUAGGGACCAACUCAAAAGAAAGUCAUUAGUUUGGGGCGGGCACAAGCAGUAACCAGAUACCUUUUUCUAUAGGCCAACAAAAUGAUUUCAUGGUGAAUGCCGUGCUCAGGUUUAGUGAAAAAAGACAUCAUAAGUGAGAUGUCAAAUUGAAUAUUCAAUAUUGUACUAUAUAUCGCACUCCAAAGAACAUAUAACUUUGAGACAAUAAAGAACAUAUUGUUUUGAGACAGCAGAAUUGGUUCUCUUGACCCUACAUAUUCUUGCCAGUUGAUGGGGAAAGCAACAAAAGCAAGCGAUGAUCUGGCUCAGACAAAUUGAGGUAUCACCAUAAAAUAAUAUAACUCCAAAAAUUUUACCCUGAUUAGAAAUUCAAAGUUUUGAGCAUGAGGACCAAAAUACUGCUAAUACUGCUAACCUUUUCUUAGCAGUAUAUCCUAGAGAAAUACAUUAACAACUCCUUAAGUGAAUGUUUGUCUAUCACGAAAAGACAUAAAACAAAAGCAAAAAUAACUAAAGAGUUCA